rnacentral:RNase_P_RNA from 1 species
ACCGCAGGUCGAAUAGCCGCUGUCCCCGUUUCGGGGAUGGAGGAAAGUCCGAGCUCCACAAGGAUACCAUGCUGGAUAACAUCCAGGCGCCGGGUGCAUUUUCAGGAAACGACGGCGACGGACAGUGCCGCAGAGAACAGACCGCCGAUGGCCUUCAGGGCACAGGCAAGGGUGAAACGGCGGGGUAAGAGCCCACCGCGCUCCUGGCGACAGGGGCGGCACGGCAAACCCCAUCGGGAGCAAGGCCAAGCAGUCCCGAGGCUUNNGGCUGCUCGAGGCCGACGGCAACGUCGGUCCCAGAUAAAUGGCUAUUGCGGGGGCGGAUGCCCCCGUACAGAACUCGGCUUACAGACCUGCGCGUUUU